AGGAAAACUUGGGCUACUGUUGCAAUUAUGUUCGUCCCACCGCUACCUCCAAUCACAGCAGCCAACUGAUUAUCCUAUCAAUAUUGCAGAAGGAACAGCUACUUAGAACAGAGGAAGAAAUGAAAAGAGUUCAUUCACAAUCAUCAAUGGAGAAUGUACCUUAAGAACAACGAUGGGGGUCAUGGAGGAUAAUGGUCUUUUGUUCGGGCUAAUGAAAUUGGCUGGAGAGGGAGGGAGCUUAUCGGGGGAUACUUCUGUAGGCGCUGAGAAAUCUCCCAUUUCGUUAUUGAGCACAAUGCCAGUUGAAGGAGACAUGACACCACCUCCAAAGACAUAGUUCACCGUGGUUGUCAUUGAUACUGCAUUUCGAUCAGCAUCUACGAUACAGAAGUGGCUGGUUCCAUGGUCUCGAAGCUGACUCCACCUGGAAAAAACGAAAGGAAGGUUUACAACCAUGAAAACUGUAAGGAGAACUCCAGAUAUUCUUUCCUCACCUUGGCAUAUAGUAUUCAGAUGGGAAAGUGGUGUUGUCAUAUAUCCGCUGUUGAAUCAUCUUUGCAAAAGACGGGGAAAGCAUGUCAUAGACAAUGCUACUGACAUUCACAAAGUCGGGAUCGCCAAGGUCCAUUCGUACACCAAGCAUGUGCUUCACCGCUUCAAUCAUGCGAUGCAGACCUAGAGGACCUUCUGCAGCAAUAGAACUUGGAUAGCUUUCUAGGACUUUAAGAAUCUGCAAUUCACCAAUGUACUACUUGUUUGUUUAGUCAAAUGAAACAAUUUAUGUUCACAAAA